rnacentral:rRNA from 1 species
GACGAACCGUGCGAACGUUGUUCGGAUUCACUGGGCUUAAAGGGCGCGUAGGCGGGCCAUCAAGUCAGGGUGAAAUCUUUCGGCUCAACCGGAAAGUGCCUUUGAUACUGGUGGUCUCGAGGAGGUAGGGCAUGCGGAACUUCCGGUGGAGCGGUGAAAUGCGUAGAUAUCGGAAGGAACGCCGGUGGCGAAGCGGCGUGCUGGACCUCUUCUGACGCUGAGGCGCG